rnacentral:pre_miRNA from 1 species
AAAACAUUCGGACCAACGGUCUGCUGAGCAAUUACACCCGCUAGAUGGAAGAUCUUGCCUUCGUCGU